rnacentral:rRNA from 1 species
AGUGAACGCUGGCGGCGUGCCUAAUACAUGCAAGUCGAACGGAGUGGCGCACGGGUGCGUAAUAUAUAGCUACUCUUCCUCUUGCUGGCGGACAACAGUUAGAAAUGACUGCUAAUACUUCCUAGCAAGGGAUGAGCGUCUAUCGUCACAGCUAGUCGGUGGGGUAACGGCCUACCGGGGCUAUGACGCGUAACUGGUCUGCGACGAUGCUCCGUGACAUUUGAAGUGAGACACGGUGCAAACUCCUACGGGAGGGAGCAGUAGCGAAUAGAGCGCAAUCGGGGGAACGCUGACGCAGCAAGGCUGCGUGGAGUAUGAUAAUUUUCGGAGAGGAAACUCCUUUGGUUAGGGAAGCGGUACCUAACGAAUAAGCAACGGCUAACUCCGUGCCAGCAGCCGCGGUAAUAC